AAGGGCACCACAAGAACGCGUGGAGCAUGUGGCUUAAUUUGACUCAACGCGGGAAAUCUUACCGGGUCCGGACACACUGAGGAUUGACAGGCAAUAUUAAUACGUUGUUUCGGCAAAGUAUUAUGUUAAAUAUGCUAGUCCUUUCAUGAUUAUGUGAUAGGUGGUGCAUGGCCGUUCUUAGUUCGUGGAGUGAUCUGUCUGCUUAAUUGCGUUUCACUAAGGGCCUAUAAAUUUACGUGUGUUGCGGCGCUUUGACCCCUUUCUUUUCACGAAGAAAGCGCGUGUCUUAGUUUGCUUUGCUCGCACAAUUAGGUCCUGAAAGCAACGAACGUGACCGCAACCUCUUGUUGCCUUUAUACCAAACAUGUUUGUUAUUUUUAUAAUAUUCAUGAAAAAAGGCUUUUUAAACUAGAGGGACCGCUGUUACUUUCUUAAACCAGAGGAAGGUUGCGGCAAUAACAGGUCUGUGAUGCCCUUAGAUGUUCCGGGCUGCACACGUGCUACAAUGAUUAUUGCAGUGAGCAUCUCAUUUUUACACACCGCAUGCGCGAGUCCAUUUAUUCACUUCGGUGCUUUAAAUGUGUAUCUCUGCGCGCGGUAAAGCCUGCUUCGAAAGUAAGUGGGUAAUCAAUUAGAAGUAAUGAUUUCCUUUUUAGCACACAUAUAUACGGCGUCUUUACCCGGGUUACCUUGUUGUAGCUUUUGUGUGUAUCGAUGUUUUUUCCGUAUGUGCGAUUGUCAAUUCAUGGUGGGGACAGACCAUUGUUAAUUGUUGGUCUCGGUCUUAACUAUUAAUGCCUUGUACGGGUCUUUGGUUCAACAAACCACCCGGAAUACGUCCCUGCCCUUUGUACACACCGCCCGUCGCUCUUACCGAUGGACUUCUCUGUGAGUUUGAGGGACUGGGAACGCAGAAUUUAUUCCGCACACCUAUGGAAACUUAAACGAACAGUGUGGUCUAAAGGAAAGAGAAGUCGAACAAGGCA
rnacentral:rRNA from 1 species